rnacentral:tRNA from 1 species
GGGUAUGCGUCAGAGUUGGAGAGCUGGGCUGCACUGUAAAUGCAGUGCCUAUGGCUGAGUAGGUUCGAAUCCUACCAUGCCCA